rnacentral:rRNA from 1 species
GACAGAGGUCCCGAGCGUUGUUCGGAUUCAUUGGGCGUAAAGGGUGUGUAGGAGGUUGGGUAAGUCAGGUGUGAAAUCUCGGAGCUUAACUCUGAAACUGCGCUUGAUACUGCUCAGCUAGAGGAUCGGAGGGGUAACGGAAUUCAUGGUGUAGCAGUGAAAUGCGUAGAUAUCAUGAGGAACACCGGUGGCGAAGGCGGUUACCUGGAAGAUUCCUGACUCUGAAACACGAAAGCCAGGGGAGCAAAACGGG